rnacentral:rRNA from 1 species
AAUGAACGCUGGCGGCAGGCCUAACACAUGCAAGUCGAACGAGUGGCGGACGGGUGAGUAAUGUCUGGGAAACUGCCCGAAGGAGGGGGAUAACUACUGGAAAAGGUAGCUAAUACCGCAUACCAUCGGAUUUGCCCAGAUGGGAUUAGCUGGUAGGUGGGGUAACGGCUUACCUAGGCGACGAUCCCUAGCUGGUCUGAGAGGAUGACCAGCCACACUGGAACUGAGACACGGCCCAGACUCCUACGGGAGGCAGCAGUGGGGAAUAUUGCACAAUGGGCGCAAGCCUGAUGCAGCCAGGCCGCGUGUAUGAAGAAGGCCUUCGGGUUGUAAAGUACUUUCAGCGAGGAGGCGUUACUCGCAGAAGAAGCACCGGCUAACUCCGUGCCAGCAGCCGCGGUAAUUC